rnacentral:SRP_RNA from 1 species
GCUGAGCAUGCUAAUGCACACCUGUAGUCCCAGCUGUGCAGGAGGCUGGGAUGGGAGGAUUGCUUGAGCCCAGGAGUUCUGGGAUGUAGUGUGCUAUACCACUGAUCAGGUGUCCAGAUGAAGUUCAGCAUCAGUAUGGUGACUUCCAGGCAGCAAGGGACUACCAAGUUGCCUAAGGAGGGGUAACCCAGCCCAGCUGGAAAAGAGCAAAUCAAAACACCUGUGCUGAUGAGUAGAGGGAUCUUACCUCUGAAUAGCCACUGCACUCCAGCCUGGGCACAUAGUGAGACUUCAUCUCU